GAGAUACGAUAUUCUUUAAGCUCAU
rnacentral:piRNA from 1 species